AGGGUGUUUAUAUCAUGGAUUACAUUGAUGGAUUUGCAUAUGUUGAGCCAUUCCUACAUCCCUGUGGGUAUAGGUGGGGUCUCUCCUUGUCCUCUCAAACGGAGGGUGUAGGGGAAAGACCAGAAUGUUUCUCCUCUGGAGGGUGGAGAGUCAAGACUGGAAUGGUUCUCAACCAGAGCAUGGAGGGGCAAGACCGGAAUGGCUGCCAAUGAAACUGGCUGCUUCGUUCUGCCUCCAGGUCCCUCUUUGGGUUUGCUGGCAGGAAGGGUCUCAGAAUGUGUAAUUUUUGAAAUGUGCAAUUAGAUAAACAAAUGUAUUUAAGGUGUGUUUAUGAUUAUUGAUAUGUUGUUUUGAAAGUUCAGUUAAAUGUUUCAGUGUUUUAUGUUUCACAUAUUUAAGAAACCACAGUAAUAAAAGUAUUAGUUAAAUUAUUGAA